rnacentral:rRNA from 1 species
GAUGAACGCUGGCGGCGUGCCUAAUACAUGCAAGUCGAGCGAAGCGGGGACGGGUGAGUAACACGUGGAUAACCUCCUAUAAGACUGGGCUAACUUCGGGAAACCGGAGCUAAACCGGAUACUUAUCGAUGGAUCCACGGUGCAUUAGCUAGUUGGUCAGGUAACGGCUUACCAAGGCAACGAUGCAUAGACUACCUGAGAGGGGGAUCCACCACACUGGAAAGUAGACAAGGUCCAGACUCCUACGGGAGGCAGCAGUAGGGAAUCUUCCGCAAUGGGCGAAAGCCUGACGGAGCAACGCCGCGUGAGUGAUGAAGGUCUUCGGAUCGUAAAACUCUGUUAUUAGGGAAGCGGUACCUAAUCAGAAAGCCACGGCUAACUACGUGCCAGCAGCCGCGGUAAUAC